UGGGGAAUAUUGCGCAAUGGGCGAAAGCCUGACGCAGCGACGCCGCGUGAGGGAUGAAGGUUUUCGGAUCGUAAACCUCUGUCAGAAGGGAAGAAACCGCACUGUGCUAAUCAGCAGUGCCUUGACGGUACCUUCAAAGGAAGCACCGGCUAACCCCGUGCCAGCAGCCGCGGUAAUACGGAGGGUGCAAGCGUUAAUCGGAAUUACUGGGCGUAAAGCGCACGUAGGCUGCUUUGUAAGUCAGGGGUGAAAUCCCACGGCUCAACCGUGGAACUGCCGUUGAUGCUGCUUAGCUUGAAUCCGGGAGAGGGUGGCGGAAUUCCAGGUGUAGGAGUGAAAUCCGUAGAUAUCUGGAGAAACAUCAGUGGCGAAGGCGGCAACCUGGACCGGUAUUGACGCUGAGGUGCGAAAGCGUGGGGAGCAAACAGG
rnacentral:rRNA from 1 species